UUAAUAAUGCCCUCUGGCUUCGGUCAGCUGGGUUCAAUGAGUGCCUUCUCUUCGGAGUUGGCCAUCCACACACACCGUGAACUGUGGCUUCGGCCAUCACAAACUGUUAGUAAUGAAUGUAAUAUCAUAACAAAAACAAAACCUUUAACAACGGAUCUCUUGGCUCUCGCAUCGGUGAAGAACGCAGCGAAAUGCGAUAAGUAAUGUGAAUUGCAGAAUUCAGUGAAUCAUCGAAUCUUUGAACGCACCUUGCGCCCUUUGGUAUUCCGAAGGGCAUGCCUGUUUGAGUGUCAUGAAACCUCACCCCACUUGGGUUUUUGCCUGAGUGGUGGUGUCUUGGGUGUUGCCUUGCUAAAGGCUCGCCUUAAAAACAUAAGCACCUUGGAUGUAAUACGUUUCAUCCUUCUGGGUGGCUGAUAACCCCACAUAUUCAUGAUCUGGCCUCAAAUCAGGUAGGGCUACCCGCUGAACUUAAGCAUAUCAUA
rnacentral:sRNA from 1 species